AAACGUAGGAGACGAGCGUUAUCCGGCUUUACUGGGCGUAAAGAGCUCGUAGGUGGUUUGUCGCGUCGUCUGUGAAAUUCCGGGGCUUAACUCCGGGCGUGCAGGCGAUACGGGCAUAACUUGAGUACUGUAGGGGAGACUGGAAUUCCUGGUGUAGCGGUGAAAUGCGCAGAUAUCAGGAGGAACACCGGUGGCGAAGGCGGGUCUCUGGGCAGUAACUGACGCUGAGGAGCGAAAGCAUGGGUAGCGAACAGGAUUAGAUACCCUGGUAGUCCAUGCCGUAAACGGUGGGCGCUAGGUGUAGGGGUCUUCCACGACUUCUGUGCCGUAGCUAACGCAUUAAGCGCCCCGCCUGGGGAGUACGGCCGCAAGGCUAAAACUUAAAGGAAUUGACGGGG
rnacentral:rRNA from 1 species